UAAAAACACAAAAGAGUCAUUGUAGGUUGGAAUGCGCAUUUCGUUCAGAAGCAGUUCGGCAUUUUUGUGUGCGGCGCUGUAGUGCCAUGCGUGGGACUCCAUCUUGAAAAGCGGCCAUCUUACUGGAAGAGGCACAUACUGUACUUCACAAACAUUUGCUGUGUUCUCGUCAACAUUCUCGUUUAAAUGUCACCCCAAGAACCUGCCGGUGACAAGAGCUUGCAGAAUAUUUUUUUGCCCCGCAGUGUUGCUCCGUACGUGGAAACGACAGUCACUAAGUGUUACAUUGCCUUUGCCGUAACUCACCGUAAGUACUGCGACACGAGGUAGGUUUCAGAGGAGCAUCUGAUCUUGGGGAGCAACAAACACCGUGAGUGGAGUACAUGCACACACAAACAGGAGUCCAAAAUGUCAUCACUGAUGUCCAAGGGAUUGGCUUCUCUACCUGCUCGAUUUCUCACCUUCAAGACUGGAUGCGCUCAUCUGAGAUAAUUGCAAAUCCAUGGCAACAGCUUUUUCAGCAUGUCUUUGAAUUUUCUUUUGACCAGUCGGUUUUCAACUGAAAGUAUUGGCGUGCAAGUCAAAAGAUUAAAAGUGAGUUACAUGUACUUUUAUGCUUUUUGUGACUAACUGGACCAUUCCAGUGGGGAACACUUUCACCCUGUUUCGAGAAAAACAUGAAAAAUCUAAGGUUUUUAAAGUAGCUUCAUUAUUUGUGUUGAAUACUCAAAUCCAUUCAGAGAUGGAAUACACUUGUUGCCAUGGAUUUGUUAAGAGUGUUUUUUGAACCAGGCAUAUGUGGUUUAAUUUAUCCCCAUGGACUUUGUGACUAUUUAUGUUCUGGUUAUUUACAAUGCCCUUCAUUUCAGUUUAGUUGACGGAACUAACAUUUAGGACAUUUGAAUUAAAGUGAAUCUCGUAAACGUGAUCAGCAUUUUAAGGCAGUAAAUCCAACAUAUGCCUGGUUCAGUAAAUUGAUUGUCGGAAAACGUUUUAGGUUUUAUGAAUACCCAUGUACUAUGUAUAAAUGGAAUCUACACCAGCACAUCAUUUCAUGUAUUUGCUUGUGAAGCAAGAACUGUACAAAGUGCAAUUGAUAUGUUUAAGUUUCGUAUGAAAUACCUGUUGCUGUACUGAAGUAUGUGCUUUGGGAGUUUAAAUGAAGUUAAAUACACAACAAUUUUAGUGCUUGAAAUAGAAAUUUGUAAUCAAAUAAGGUAAUUUAUAACAGAUUUUUAAAAAACUUUGUUUAAAUUGAUUUCAUGAAAAAGAAGCCAUUUGAAACUAGUUUCUCCUUGUAAAGACUUCUUCCAGUGAUUGCAAAUUCAGCUUCUCGUGUUGAAGACCUUUCGCCUGGCUCCUCUAAAGGUUCUGUAAUUUCCGCCUUAACUGUCUUUUAUAUUAACUUAAAAAAAACUUGGUUCUGCUAGUUAUGAAGUGGUUGAAUUCAUUUAAUAACUUCUUUUUAAUUGACAUAUGAUGUGUUGGUGUAGAUUGUCUACUGAUUGCUGAAUAAAAAGUUUGUUGUGUUUUUGUGUUCAUACAGUGUGCUUGCUGCCUAUUUAACAAGCUCGUUAACACAUGACUUCACACAAGGAGAAAAAGUUGUUCAAGAUGUCUGACAAAUAGCCAGUUUACUUGAGAAGAAAAAAAAAUGCACUUUCCCAUGGUUUCACAUUGUUUUAUUGAUAUACAUAAAUGAGCUAAAAUAGGCAGCAGGCUUUUUCAUACUGCCUUGUUGGGGGGGGGCUGCGAGCUUGGAAUGGGGUAAUGUCCAGUCAGUGAAUGCACACUGCACCAAUGUACUGGCGAUAGCAUUGUCUUUUUUUAAUGUGCGCCCUCAUUAAUUAAAGUUGGAUAGAAGGGCGCCCUCAUCUUUUCUUGGAGAGAGGGAAUGUGCGUCAGAGAUGCAAUAAAGAGAGCGCCCUCAAUCUAGGUGUAAUUGUUAGAUGUAUUUUGUGUAGUUAUGUUUGAUGGAAGGGCGCCCUCAAUCUUUUCUUGGAGAAAGAGAAUGUGCGUCAGAUGCGAUAGAAAGAGAGAGCGCCCUCAAUCUAGGUCCUGGGUGUAAUUGUUGGAUGUAUUUUGUGUUGUUGAGUUGAUGGAAGGGGGGCGCCCUCAAUCUCUUCUUGGAGAAAGGGAAUAAGUGUCAUGUAAUAAAAAAGAAAGAGCGCCCUCAAUCGAGGUCUGGGCGUAAUUGUUAGAUGUGUUUUGUGUAAAGUUUGAUAGAAGGGCGCCCUCAAUCUUUUCUUGGAGAAAAAUAUUUUUC